rnacentral:rRNA from 1 species
UGGGGAAUAUUGCACAAUGGGCGCAAGCCUGAUGCAGCCAUGCCGCGUGUAUGAAGAAGGCCUUCGGGUUGUAACGUACUUUCAGCGGGGAGGAAGUGAGUAAAGUUAAUACCUUUGCUCAUUGACGUUACCCGCAGAAGAAGCACCGGCUAACUCCGUGCCAGCAGCCGCGGUAAUACGGAGGGUGCAAGCGUUAAUCGGAAUUACUGUGCGUAAAGCGCACGCAGGCGGUUUGUUAAGUCAGAUGUGAAAUCCCCGGGCUCAACCUGGGAACUGCAUAUGAUACUGGCAAGCUUGAGUCUCGUAGAGGGGGGUAGAAUUCCAUGUGUAGCGGUGAAAUGCGUAGAGAUGUGGAGGAAUACCGGUAGCGAAGGCGGCCCCCUGGACAAAGACUGACGCUCAGGUGCGAAAGCGGGGGGAGCAAACAGG